rnacentral:misc_RNA from 1 species
UGUGGGAGCUGGCUUGCCUGCGAUCCAGGCACCUCGGUAAUACCGAUACACCGCGGUGAUGCUAUCGCAGGCAAGCCAGCUCCCACA